GUUUCUUCCUAGCCUUUUUUUGCAGGGAGCUAAUGGGGUGGGCUUCUCCCUGAAGGUGGAAAACCAGCGCUGGAGUGAGGACGUGACACCCCACCCCCACGAUGGCAGAAAAACACUUCAGAAACUCCCAGGAGCCAGGAGAAAAGUAGAGAAGCCAGACCACACGAAGUGGACUUUGGUGGCUCAGUUGCCAGCUGCUCUGAGCCCAGGCAUGGACUGAAUUUGCUGCGUGGCCUUCAGAAAACCAUUCUCCUACGUCUCUCUUUUCCUGCGGAAGGAAACAGAAGAAAGAAACCAUCCCUGCUUGCUUUCUCUCUGUCUCAGUCCCCGGAGGCAAUGACUCCACAUUUGGGACAAAGAAGCAAAAAGGCCCUGAAGUCAAUAAGCCAUAGUCCGGCUUUCAACAAAAACUUUAUUAGCAACACCUGGGCCGUAGGUGCGCUAGCACACCACCGAAGAACACCAGUGAAAGAAAAACAGUGCCCAAGAACCUGGUCUGCCCUGCUUUUGAGUGGAACUGCCUCUCCCCCUUGUGGUUACAAUGACUGAUCUUGAGGAACAAGUGUGGCUUUUUUUUUAAUCGCCCUUUGAUCUCUUAGCUUAUUACACAAGCUGUUUGAUUCAUUAACUCUGUCUCACCCACCCACCUACCUUCUUAUACCAGUGCCCUCCCCCCUCUAUUCUUCAUCCACCUGCCCCUUUAAAAAAUGCCUCAGUAUGUUUGGGUAGGCGUACCCAUCGCUUGUGUACUUAUUUGCAUUUGGUGACUUUAUCUCCUGCAUUCAUGUAAUUCAAUGUGUUGCUCUCUAGCUUUUAUAAAACAACAUGAGAUAAAAGUAAUGACGUAGGAAUAAGAAAGUGGAAAACAGGAUUAAGAGAAAAGGAGCAAUGCAUUUAUGUUUAUGAUCAUGGCCGUCUUUUUCUCUGUAUUGAUCACAUUCUCGUCCAAAUUCAUGACACAAGUUUUGAUGUGUCCAGUCCCAAGGUGGGUUCUACAAAGAGACAAGCAAGGGAUAAAAGCAUGGCCCCUGUGCUGUUCAUCUCACGAUCGAGGCACGAUCAUCACACCCAUAGCACACUUAAUGGGAAACACAACCCCAUUUGAUUUCUGUGAGCAGAAGAGGGGUCGUGUGUCUGUGAUAGGAAAGAAGAGACGGAGGCUCAGAGAGCUGGCAGACUCUGAGCAGACAGCAGGAGAGUCUGGGGCUCAGCCCCUGCUUUCCUACCUCCAGAUUUCAUGGUAUUUCCACUCUGCCUUUAUUCAAAUCAGGCUUCUCCACAGAAGCUUCACAGUGCUGUGACAGUGCCACAUCGGCUGCCCAUGACGAGAAGAGCUGGCUCCAAGGAGAAGGA